rnacentral:rRNA from 1 species
AUUGAACGCUGGCGGCAGGCCUAACACAUGCAAGUCGGGCGGAGCGGCGGACGGGUGAGUAAUGUAUGGGGAUCUGCCUGAUGGAGGGGGAUAACUACUGGAAACGGUAGCUACUACCGCAUACCAUCAGAUGAACCCAUAUGGGAUUAGCUUGUAGGUGAGGUAAAGGCCUACAAAGGCGAAGAUCCGUAACUGGUCUGAGAGGAUGAUCAGUCACACUGUAACUGAGACACGGUCCAGACUCCUACGGGAGGCAGCAGUGGGGAAGAUUGGACAAUGGGCGAAAGCCUGAUCCAGCCAUGCCGCGUGGGUGAAGAAGGUCUUCGGAUUGUAAAGCACUUUAAGUUGGGAGGCGUUACCAACAGAAUAAGCACCGGCUAACUACGUGCCAGCAGCCGCGGUAAUUC